rnacentral:rRNA from 1 species
AUUGAACGCUGGCGGCAUGCCUUACACAUGCAAGUCGAACGGUAACGGGCCUUCGGGUGCCGACGAGUGGCGAACGGGUGAGUAAUACAUCGGAACGUGCCCGAUCUUGGGGGAUAACGAGGCGAAAGCUUUGCUAAUACCGCAUACGAUCUACGGAUGAAAGCAGGGGACCGCAAGGCCUUGCGCGGACGGAGCGGCCGAUGGCAGAUUAGGUAGUUGGUGGGAUAAAAGCUUACCAAGCCGACGAUCUGUAGCUGGUCUGAGAGGAUGAUCAGCCACACUGGAACUGAGACACGGCCCAGACUCCUACGGGAGGCAGCAGUGGGGAAUUUUGGACAAAGGGCGCAAGCCUGAUCCAGCCAUGCCGCGUGCAGGAUGAAGGCCUUCGGGUUGUAAACUGCUUUUGUACGGAACGAAAAGCCUUCUUUUAAUACAGGAGGGUCAUGACGGUACCGUAAGAAUAAGCACCGGCUAACUACGUG